UACGAAAUGUGCGAGCGUUGUUCGGAAUCACUGGGCAUAAAGGGUUCGUAGGUGGUUCUGUAAGUUGAUGGUGAAAGCCCACGGCUCAACCGUGGAAGUGCCUUCAAUACUGCAGAACUUGAGUGCAAAAGGGGUUAGUGGAAUUCCAGGUGUAGCGGUGGAAUGCGUAGAUAUCUGGGAGAACGCCAAAGGCGAAGGCAGCUAACUGGGUUGCAACUGACACUGAGGAACGAAAGCUAGGGGAGCGAACAGG
rnacentral:rRNA from 1 species